CCGCCCCCUCCCCGCCCACCUGCUUGGCCCCGCCCUCACCCACCUGCUUGGCCCCGCCCCGUCUGCAUCUCCCCUGCUUGCUCCUGCCCUGCCCUCACCCACCUGCUUGGCCCCCACUUCUGAUGCCCGCCUGCUCUGCCUGGCCCGGAGGAGGACCCCAGCUGCGCCAGGGAGGAAGGGCAGGAGGAAGGUGAGCUUUGAAUAAGCAGCGUUUGGACAACUGGACAGUCAUAAAGAAAGAAAAAGCAUACCUUGGGUCCAUCUCACCGCACACGAGAAUAAAUCUCAAAUGAAUCAGAGGCUCAAGUGUAAAGGGUGAGAUGAAGCCAUGCAAAUUCUACAAGAAUGUACAGGUCAAUUCCUCAAGAACCUGUGAAUCGGGAAAACAUUUCCAACUAUGACUUGAAAUCCAAAAGCAACAGAUAAAAUAAGAAAAAUUAAAAUAGAAGCACCAUUAGCAAAGUAAAGGAGACAAAUGACCAAAUGGGAAAAGUAUUUGCAGUUUCGAUCACAAAGGAUUAAUAUCACUGAUACAUAAAGAACAUCAAAACUGAGGUGAGGAACCUGCCAGACAGUCCUAUAGAAAAGGGAGCAGAAGACAUGAGCAGUUCAUAGGAAAUGGGGUUCAUGACCUUUGCACUUAUGAAAAAAUGUUCAACCUCAUUUAUAACAAGAAAAAUGCAAAUGAAAAGUACACUCUGAUACCACUGCUUGCUUAUCAGAUUGGCAAAAAUCCAGACUUUUGAUGGCAACUCUGUGGGAGAGGCAGCAGGCACAGGUGCACUCCUCAUCACUGGUAGAAAAGAGACCUAGCGAUAUUACUAAAUGUAUCAUUUGACACAGAAACCCCACUUCUAGGAAAUAACCCAAAGAUAUGUAGGAAAAAUAGAAAAGUACA
rnacentral:lncRNA from 1 species